GGCAUAUUUACGUGGCUCCACAUGAUGUGAUGAGGAAAUCCUGUUGCAGAGAAUUCAGGAGGGGAAACAAGGAUUUUCUUCUUUCCAGUGAUACUGGAAUUUAUCCAACACCAAGAACAUUUUUUACUUGCUUAGAGAUGUUUGUGCUGAAAACCUGACAUCUUGUGUUUGAGGGAGG
rnacentral:lncRNA from 12 species